rnacentral:misc_RNA from 1 species
AGGAUCAUUACAGCGAAGCGGCGCGAGCCGCCUUUCGAACCACCGCGUACCGAACCCCCCACGUUGCCUCGGCGGGCGCCGGGCGCCCCGCGCCCGCCCCGCCGAACGGCCCCCCAGCAAGACCCCUUCCGUCGAGAUGGCGUCGUCUGAACCCUCCGGGGAAAACGUUUGAAACGAAAAACACAGCUUUCAACAAUGGAUCUCUUGGCUCCGGCAUCGAUGAAGAACGCAGCGAAACGCGAUAGCUAGUGUGAAUUGCAGAUUUCAGUGAAUCAUCGAGUCUUUGAACGCACAUUGCGCCUCUUGGUAUUCCUCGAGGCAUGCCUGUUCGAGCGUCGUUACGCCCCUCAAGCGCGAGCUUGGUGUUGGGGACCGCCCCUGAGACACGGCGGCGGCCCCGGAAUGCAUCGGCGGUGCUGGUCCCAGCCCGGAGCGCAGCAGACAUGCGGCUCCGCGGGCGGGGCCGGCGCCCGCCGGACAAACGACGAGACCCCUCCACAAGUCG